AAGAGAGAGUGUUUCAUGGUGUUGCAACAGCAGGCUUUUUGCUUUUCCACAGGCUGAGUCUGCAUGUGUAAUUGCUUCCCUUUAUUUCAGCUCUGUCCCAGAAACUCCUGCUGGAGUGGCACUGAGCAGAGGGAUACCAGCCUGUUAAGCUUCUGAGUUCUCCACAUGGUCAGAAGAUUGUAACGACCUCCAUGCAGUUCAGCCUUGGAUGGAACUUCUUACAGGUAAAAGUACAAAAAUGGUUUCUUACUGCCCCUGCUAUUAACCGCGUCAUCCUUUCGGGAUGUGAAAACCUGGCGCAAUUCUGAGCCGGAAGGACAAGGAACGGGAGACCAAACAUAUCUUUGCUCGCUAAGCCCAAGUUCUGGCGAAGUGUCCCACAGACCUGUGACUACCACCACAAUCAGCAGGUUCAGCCAGCACCUGUGCAGACCCUGGGCCUCUGCAUUGUCAAGAAAUUGCAUUUUCCUGUGAAAUGCUGCACAGUCUGAACAGUGCUACAGGUGAAAGUCCCCAAAGGGAAUCAUGAGCAUGAAGGAAAAUGACCCUGUGGACAUAUCCAACACAUUGGACAUUAGCCCAGCUUUCAAAUGCAUCUCUCUCUUAGCUUUGGAACCUGCUGCUGGGAUUUCCUGCUGGAUCCCUCGAGCCAGAAAGAAGGGGGCAACCAUUUUGAUCAUCCUCCUUGAACCGGCCACAGCUCAGGUGAGAUAUUGUGGUGACGACUCAUCUAGCAACACCAUUAUCCAAAGUCCAGAGGAGCUCUGCAGUUGGAUUCUGACCACGGACUUCUUCGUCCCUGCUUGCAGAGAAGGGUUAUGCUGACACGGAAGGAGGGACUUGGAGAGGGGAGAUUAACCUUUCGCUGGCCACGAUUCGUUCCCUCUUAUCGCGGAGGAUUCGGCAACCCACCCCCCUCCCACCCAGCCUAUCUGUCUGAAUUGCUGAAAGCAUAAUGCUCCCAUAUGAGAGAUAAUGUUGCUGUAAAAGACAGGAGGAUCUGUGUGUGCGUUCGAGGUGCGGCCUGAUGUGAUCCUUCAGGGUGGAAACCUGCAUGGAAACCAAGCAAAACACUCUGGAGCUUUCCCAACAGUCUGCAGUGGAAGAAGUGAGAGAAACUAAGCUACAUCCUGGAAGACUGGAGGUGGAGAGAAGGAAGUUUUAGCCUUCCCAGCAACCUUAAACUUUCCUGCCAAAGGGGAACUGGUGGAAAAAGAAAAGUUUCUUCCAAGCAUUAAGACCGUGAUGUCAGUCAGCUUCAGAGAAACAGCAUCAGAUCACCUGAGAAUCAGCAUGCAAGCCUCAGGUUUGAAAGGGACCAGGACACCUGCAAGAGGAGCUCCAGUUGUGCCUCCUCCAUGAUGAGGCUCAUACAGAGGUGCAGCCCCUCAGAUGGUGACAGGGGGACAGCAACCAGUGCCCUCACAGCACUGUCACUGUGUGUGACAGUGGUCAUGAAGCAGGGAUGGGAAGUGCUGCCUGGACUGCCCCCAGCAGAAAGCCCAGUGGUGUCCCUUCCCCGCUGGUGCAGAGGCUCCGGGCUGCCACCGCAGAUCAUUUGACAAAUUUCACGGGCUUUUGAUACAGGCACAAAGGUUCACAGCCUGCUCGUCUAGUUGGUGAGACCGUCCAGUCCCUCUUGUGUCAUUUGUGGUGGCAUUGCAGACUUUGAGAACAAUCUGAAGGACAAACCCCAAGCUGUUUGGAUGCUGCUCAGCCCCAAAUACGUGAGAAGAGCUAUUCCGACGUGUCUUCUCUGCACUGCAGUGCAGGGAUGGAGCUAAGGAUGAGCAAUGGGAGCACUGUCAGGAUUACAGCCAGGAGCAGCCCUGCUGGUCGGAUGGGCAGAUGAUGGCACCGACAGAGGCUUCCCAGUGUGACACCCCAAGGCUGCCCCUGCCUUGGGCCAAUGUCCUCAUCCCGCAGGUACGACAUCACCCACAACUCAUCACAAAGCUCCGUUUGUGUCCCGAGCCCUGAACCUAUUUCAAAGCCCAAGCUAAAUUACACAAACACUUGCCUAUAGACAUAACAGGACUGUUAUGAAAUACUGUCAGCUUGUUGCCAUUUAGCCCGAGCACACCCUGCAUGUGUCUGUCAGGCCAUACUUGGGCAGCUCUGCCGCGUGCGACGUGUCCCAGACACUGGGGUGAUUAUGUCUGAAUGCUCCUUAUCUGAUGGGGCAGCCGACAGUGCUGCACAUCUGUGCUCCGAGGCUCUGCUGCGGCGCUGCCACGCCACUAUUUAUUUUGCUUCUGCAAGUUAGUUUUCCUUGAGAAGCAGCAGGGGCCUUCUUCAAUGAACUGAAAAAUGUGUAUUGUAUGAAGGUCUGCACAGGGUUUGUACCGUAGUUCAAUGGGCAAACGCGAACCCAGGGGAUGACAUUUCAUUUAAACAUUUGGUUUACAUCUUUACAUGCCAAAAAUAUUAAUAUCCUGACUUCAACAAACUGAAUUCAGCACUUUUUUCCCCCCCUCCCCUUAAAUGAAGUAAUUAUAGCCAAAACACUCUGUGGGUAUUUAUUCUUCCUUCUCAGAGGUGGAGUUUCGCACACGAACAUUUGGUUUCAGGGCUGGAAUUGUCAGUAGCUGCUCACUUGACACUUUCCUGUUCGUUUGCAUUGGAAACCACCAGUAGUUUCUUUUCUCGUGUUUAUUGUAUUACUCUCAGCCCUUUGAUCGGGACAUCUUGGAUAGCAGCAAAGUCUAGCUUAGUGCCUGUUUGCUAGUUAGGAAAAAAAAGGUGAAGAAUAUGGUUUCUGUCAAAGGAUCUACAAAGACAGUUAAUGUAAUUGAGAAGCAGAAGGGCAUUUAUGGAAGUGCAUCUGAAUGUCCUCUUCACAUGUAAUUGCAUCAGGAAUUCUACAUUAACAUGCAAGUGCUGUCCAAAGGGGAAAAAAAAAAGAAAAAAGCUUAUUUUUAGGUAGAAGCCCUCAGUGGGCAGUAAAUUACCCAUAAUAUCCCCCAAACUAGCAAUUAGCCCUGUUUGCUGACUACCUGAAUUGUUUCACAGUAGUUCAGCACAGUCUUACCAGUUAUCACCAUACUUAUAAUCAGAGAUUCCGUGUAUGAUUCCCGCAGCUCCACAUACUGCCUGCCUAAGGUCAGCAGGAAUAACAAAUACAUUUUAUUUGCUUCUUUUGGCCCUUUAAAGCUGUUUUCUCAGGCUACAAUAUGUGAGGAAAGCUGAUGCUGCUGUGCUGCUUAACUGGCAAGAAUUUGAAAAGAGGAAGCAAUUCGCAAGUGUAGGUGUACUUUGGUAUUAGUUAGUAUUUAUUUGUUUGUGUUAUUCUGUAUUUAUUCCCUUAUUAGCAGACAGUCCUGCCUGGGGACUGAGCUUUCUACCAAUUUCUGAGGUUUGCUCUUCAGAAGUUCUAACACUGGAAGACAUUUUUCAACACGAGCCUGUAACUGAGGAGUGGAAAACAGGAAAAUAUGGAAUCAAAACCUUAUGGAAUUUUUUCUCUUAAGGUGGUGGAGCAGUUUUCAUAUCUCCAAAUAUCCAUGCUUUGCCAAAAUAGUAAUUCAGCUCAGAAAACGGUAGCUAUAUUGCCUGUUUCAGCAGUAGAAACAAUCAUGGGCCUCCACAUGCACACAAAUACAAGCACACACAUCCUAACAGCAGCACUGGGCUUAAAGAAAGACAGCUAAGUAAAAAUGAGACUAAUGAGGCAUUUGAAAAAGAAUAUAGAAAUGUUUGGACCCUGAGCAUUAAAGGUGUUUUUUUAAGUGCUGCACACGCCUUUCUGAGUAAUGCUUUAAUUGACAUAUUAUUUCUCAGGCAAAAUCCCACUGAAUUAACUUAGUGCCACCAUUUAAACCCUAUUUUCAAUGCUGGUUCUGUGUCACAUUACACUGACAUGGACCUGUAUUCCUGUCUCUGAUCUGAUGGACUAGAUCUGGGUAAUGAAGGAGAUGGAACAGGAAUUCAUGUUCAAGAGGAAAAACUAAAGACUGGCUCUCCUUUGCAAAGGCAUGCUGAGAAGCAGAGAAAACAAAUGCCAAUGGCACAGAGCAUUACUUCCCUCUCUGUUGGGUUUUAAGCCAGGACAAGGAGGUAAGAGUCAUAUGACCAACUUUGCAAUCCCAAGAAUCUCCCAAAAUGCCCCAAACCUUUGCUAUUCCAGCAGUAGAUUCUCAGGCAGGGAGUCCAUGACUCCCAGUUAAUGGCUUAGUGAGGCAGUGACCAGUUUGGCACUCAAGGGGAAAAGGGAGGACUUGGUGGUGACAGUGCCAGCAGAUUCGUUUUUCAAAAGAACUUGUUUUCCAGAAAAAAAAAAUAAAGACCUUUGGGUUGAAUGCUGUUUCCAUCCUUACUAAUCAGGCCUUGACUAAGAAAAGUCCAAAUAAACUGAUCAUAAAUUAAGUCAUCCCCAUUGUGAGCAUGAACACACAUACCUGGCCAAGGCAGGCAAAAUCAGAUUGAUGAAACAACAAAGUUCACCUUGUUUUCUGAGCUGAAAGCUCACGCUGUUUCUUGGCAGAACAGGCAUGUCAGGCCUGUAAUAACCACUUGCUACCUUGCUUCAAUCAGCAUUGAAACCAGCACAAUAUUAACAUCUUGGGGAAAAUCCAUCUGGAAACUGCUUUCUGGGGGAAAAAAAUGAAAGGGAGAUGACUGAAUACCACACCCCCUGAUUAUUUAUUUGUUGAUUUCACAGUAACUUUAAGGAACUGAAAAUUUCUCUCCCCAUCACCUGAAAAUUCGUAUUUCAAACAUUUUCUGUCCAUUCAGCUGAAUUCCUGUUCAGAAAGAAGUGGCAAAGAACAGCCGUUCUUCACCUGAAGGAAAACCACUUGUCUGGCAGAGGCAGAGGUCUGUAUUUGCUGUUUGGUUUUACUUUGGAGGAGUUUCUGUGGGCACAUCUUCCCAUGCCCAGUACAGCGGGGUGGCAUCACUGGGACAAAGCCAAGCUGGCAGAGCCAGGCAGAGCAUCCCCAAGCUGGGAUUCAGAGCAACCCCACUGACUUAGAUGUGGGCAUCUGUUGCAUUGACACCUCAGGGGGUUGAGGUUGGAACACAAGAGCUGAACUUUAAAAAUACUUCCAAAAAUGUUACUUUUUGCUGACAAGAUAAUACUCAAAUUGACUUUUCCUUUUGCCUCCUGAUGGCCUGGUAUGAAUAUACACUUGGCAUUAUUCUGCAUCACUUCUUCUUUCUGUUGGAUCCAACUGACAUGAUGAUAGUUUCAGGAUGCAGAGGAUACUUAUGUUUGGCAUUAAAAAAAAUACAUUAUGUAAAUCCUGUUGUUGGAAAAUUAAUACAAAGUCAACUGGGUAAGUGAGCCAAAGAAAGCCUUUCCUUUAUAUUUUUCUGUGAUUUUUUUUCCUCUUUUUCCUGAAGCAUUGCUGAAGUUUGAAGACAGUAGUGAAGAUGCACAGCACACAUGGUCUAAAAUGCAUCUACCCGAUGUGAAUGUACCCUGUACUGCUGGUGCAGCUUGGAAGCUCACUGGGCAUGUUUUGGAGACUUUUAGCAUCUCCAAUAUAUUUCUGGAAAGGAAGCAAACAAUCCAGGGCCUAGACACUGGACUUUUAAAUUAACAAAAUAUGUAUUGCUUACUCUGAAAAACACUUUGCCAAAAAAACUGGGCUAAGGAGAUGUCAUUUGGCACUGGAUUAAUUUUAGAUGAAGUUUUAGGACCAGCCUAGGCUGUAGGUUUGUAUUCAGUGGUGUUUAAAAGUAAUGCCCUGGCCAGUAACUGCUGGGAUCAGGCUCUGCCAAAUUUCUGUCACCUUGGGCUUCAUUAGCAUUUGAAAACAGACCUCUCUUGGCUUUGUGUCUCACUGAAAAACAAACCACCGGGGCUGGUCUGCAGCCCUCUCGUUUGGCCAGGGGUGUAGAGCUGCCUCAUGCACUCAACUUUAAUUUUAAAGUUCAUUUUUUCACUGCAGCUCUUCAAAAGUUACCAGCGUGAGGGUUCCUGUUUACAAUGGUGAAGAGUAACUCACAUAAAACUCCUGAAGGACCCACAAGCAUUGGCUGACUAACUAUUUAGCAGAAUGAGAAGAAUGAGCAUCAGGUAACGGGAUACAAGUGGAAAACUCUCUGUGAUGCCCAUGGAUAUCAGAACAAACCCCCUCUUUCAAUGCCAAGGUUAUGGGACUGACUGCAGGACUCAUUUUUGCUCAGUGUUGGGUCACCGCAUACGACAACAACAGUUAAGAAGAAAUUUGGUUGAUGUCUCAUUUUGAGGGGCUCUACUACUGCCAGCCUCCUGACUCCAGACUUGCAGAAAGCAGUAGAUUGAAAGGUGGCUUCUGAAAGAGGGGCAUCUCUGCCUAAAAUCAAUUGUAACUAAAAACCUGAAAAUUGAUGGAUUUACACCAAGGCUGAAAGUAGUUUAUGGCAGGAGACCUCAGAAAUCUCCAGUAUGGAUUACUGCUUUUAUAGGUCUGUUCUGGUCUUCUCCUUUUCCUUCACCUCCUCCUUCUCCUCACUUUUAAACUUGGGAGCUCAAAACAAUCUCUAGCUAUUUUCAGUCAGGAUCAGGCUGACUGGGAAGCAGGAGGUUUUUGCAACUGGACUUCAACAUGUUGGAGAAAUAACUGAGGAAAAGUUUUCCUGCUACCACUCACCAAAGAAAUGUAAAGGGAGCAGUGGUCACCUUCCUCUUCCAGAGUUAACAAUACCUUGGGAAGACUCUGGCAGUGUUGCUGUCAGAGCAGGGGCUUUAGGACAGGUACAGAUUCAGGAAGAGAGCACUGAGGCUUCACAGCUCGUGGUUUGCAGUUCAGCAUCACACUUUCCACUCACUGUAUCAAUUCUGAAGUUCAUCUCCCACUGAAAGUGUUCCUUGGUGCCUCAUUCCUUGCACACCGACCUCCCCAGGCAGUGCAGCCUGCAUGGAUUUAAUGCCUGCUCUAUGAUCCACCUCCAUGGACAAAUGCAAACAUAUGUGGCAAAUGCUGACAGUUUUCCCCACCAUAAGAAGUCAAGAAAUAAGGAAUUACUGUUAUCUCCACUUCCUAAAUGGGGACUGGAAGCCACAGCUCAGCCAACACUUCUGGCUGUCAAUGACAGAAGCAGCCCAGUCCCUUCGGUCCCUGUGGGGUCCCUUUUCUCACGCUGGGAUAAGCAUUUGUGCAUCUGUAUUUUGGAACUGAUUGAGGAACUUAUUCAUCUGAAAACUAAUCCAGGGAGGGAAAAAAAACCCAAGUUUUUAUUUCAGCCACAUCAACUUCCUGAUUUUGGUUUGAAUGCAGCCCAGCAGGACGGGACUGAGCAGCUACGACGGUGGGAGUGGAAUGCAAGGAUUUUGGAUGGAAUUACAUGAAAUCACAGAAGAAAUAUGACAUCAAGAAGACAAUGUAGGUCUCCAGAAUGCACAGAUGCCUUUCUCUGUUGUAAAUGCCAUCCCCUCACAACCUAGCAGAGGUUUGCUGGCUGUCUACCACUGCUCUGAGCCACCCAAGGUUUAUCCUGUGUAGACAACAUAUCUCAGGAGUGUCGUGUUUGGUGGAAUUAAAUGACCCUCUGCCCAGUCAAAAGUUAAUUAUUUGGGGGUGGAGGUUGCAGGGGGAUUAUUUCAGCAGCCACACUAAUGAAGGUGGGAUCAGACAGGUUAAAAAUAAGCGCAGACACAAGGAAGAUAUGGGAAGGGAAAGGAACAGCUUAACCUGUGCAGUGGGACGAUGCCCUGCAUCACUAUUAUGGUAAGAGUUUUGUUCAGGAGGAGAGACAGAACUACAGAGAUAUUUUGCAGGGUUAGCACGUCUUCCUCUGUCUGAUACACUCCCUCUUUCCCACUUUUCCCUCGAUGGCAGGUAAUAAAACGCCUGCUGGUACCCCCCAUGACUGGAGGUACCCGGAGUGGUUCAGCCCAUCGUGAGUGCUGUGCCAAUCAUUUAACAAUUCCCACAGCUGCCUUUGUGAGAAGCCUCUCUCUUAAGCCUCUGGUUUAAGAAUUUAGAGUAAUCAUGUAAAAAUGAUACCCCUGUGCUCUAUGAUCCGCUGAAUCUCACUAAUGCCGGAUCCCAGAAGAGGGCUUAUUAAUGAAAAGAUGCAAUGCCUCUCUCUCUGCUCAUGUUUCACAUGAAUAUCUCUCAUGGAUUCGGCAGUAAACCGUACUGCUGAUAAAGUGGGUAUAAUGAACCUCUGUGCUCCACGAGAAGGAAAUCUUGGACUGAUGGAAUAGUUACCUGCUCCACUUCCCAGCACAAUGGCAGGCUCGGCGGGGACAAGGAGAAGCACUUGGCUGCCACGGGAAUAGCGGUGCAGGCUCCCAAAUCCUGGGCCUGCUUUGCAAGCGAUGCCUUCGGCUGUGUGAAAAGAUCAAGAGUUUGGAAGGGAGCGGUUCGUAAUUAGCUGAGAGAAAUGAAAUUAUGCUUUGUUGUAAAUCACCGAGUCAACAGACGGAAGGAGGUUUUUAAAGGGACAGCAGCACCUUGAGGCUACUCUGUGUCCUUUCAACAUCACACAGUAGUCAAAAACCCGGCUGGCUCUCGCCAGUUGGCCAGAUUUUCAGCAAGGACGAGCACCAAGUGUUCUGCAAACAGCAGGAUCCUGCCACUUCCAGCCCCUGACAUCUAAUUUUCAAAUACUUUCAAGUACUGCCUCUGUCCUCAAGCUCCCCUGCUAACGGCAGCAGGUUUUGUCAUCAAGAAUUUCAAAUUGUUAUAAAUCCUUCUGCUGUAGCAAAAACAAAUGAUGGAAAAUCUCCACGCUAACAAGAAGAAAGGCAGCUUCCAUGUCUAUCCAUGGGAAGAGAAAGCAAGUGACUACCCAGAAAGCACUGUGAGGCAAAGAAAAGGAAAAGUGCUGUAGGCAGCAGUGCAGUCAGGCUCUAUAUUUCUCUGAGGCCCUCUGUGAUUUAUGAUUUCCAUUAAAAGAAACACAUGCCUUACAAAUUACCCCUAAUCUCAGCAUCAGUAGGAUGGCACAGGGCAAGCAACAAGAGCCUGGAAGGUGUCACUCUGGAGUAUCCCAAAACGACCACAGAGACCAGUUUUAAGUCCAGCAACCAGACUGUAUCUGCUGGGUUUAUCUCUGAUACCUGGAUCACCUUUACAGAGCCAGCCCCACGUGGCCAAGUCCAAACCUUUGUGAGGCUCCAAUCUGAAUACGGAAAAUUAUCACAGAGAUGACAGCACUGCAGGGUGGCUGUAAUCCCAUCUCAAACACUGGUUGUUAUCCUCUGCAUGUCUGUUCACUGAUUUACCAAUCUGUGGAAAAGUUAGCACUGUCCCUCACUUCCAGGGGAUUCUCUGGUUAGAGGGAAUUCAAACACCCUGAAACUCUGUGAAACCUUAAACUGUCGUGUGAGCAGCUUGGGUAUAACUCCCCGUGUUAUUAAUACCUAAAUGCCCCAUAUGUUGUCUUUAGAGAGGAAGGCAGUCCCAUCACCUUUAUGUGUGUGCUUUCUUCCCUUGGCUUUUACAUUUCUUCCACACGCAGAAUGUACUUAACUCGCUGCUUAUUGAAUGAAGGAUUAGUAUUAUUUUCCUUCCUCCGGUGAACUUUGUUUCACUUCAUCCUGCAUAUAUUUUGCUAGGCUGUGUUUUCCUGCCAGCACACCACUGUUCAGCAAACCACCGUACUUAAGGCCAGCCAGCUAACACAGUGAUCCCUUUUUACUCACGAGGAGUGUUUCCAUAAUCAUGGCUGUGCUCGUGGGAUGAAUGACAGCUUACACCGAGGAGCACGGAACGCACUUCCAGAAGCUCUGCCGAGCUGGGACGCGACUAAAGCAGCUUCAAACUGCCAAGACACUUGAAACAUCCAGGGGAAGACACGGUUUGAAAUGGAGCCUGCUACUUAGCUCCUCUGCUGGCAUGAAUGUUGACCAGGGACUUCCCAUCCUCCCUUUUCUGUGCUGCUCUAUCUCAUGCUGAGCUGGACUGGGAGCGCUUGGAAAAAUGCCCAGCUUUGGGUCCCGUAAAAAUUAGUAUAAAACAAACAGGUAACAAAUUUGCAGUGGCUCUGUAGGCGGUUUACAGUCUCUUUUCUUUUGUUGGGAAGAUUGGUUAUGUUGCCCAGUAGGAAAGCAAGUGGAAAAGAAGGGUUUCUUUACAACUCACUGUGCUCUUGGAAAAACGGAUUGGGAGUUCCUGUUCGCAUCAGUGCAGCAAUGCAGACCUCUCUGGUGGAAGUAUUUUCUUUUUCUGGUGGAAUUAUACCUCAAGUCCUGCUAGGUAGUUACUCUCUUUGUUCCUGUGAGCCAAGCUAGUUGCAAGAUCAUGCUAUGCCAUGCUUAUAACCUCGCACUAAAGAGGAGAUUACAAAGGGGGCAAAAUACCCUAGAGGGUUCCCCUUUAUCAGAACCUUCCCUGUCAGUUUGCCUUCUCAUUUCCUGAGCUCUUGUCUGAUUAUUAGUGUACUGACAGAAUAAAAAUAACCUCAUAUUCCUACAUGAAUCAUAAAUAAAACCCUUUUAUUUCAUCAAA